AGCCUUGUCCCAGUGAAUGUCCAGUGCCAGUCCAUGGAGGAGGGCACCAACUGACUGGCCAGGUGGGCUGGAGCUCAGUGGGGCUGGGGUGGGACAGGCCCCCUCUGUGAGGUUGUUCUCCCUGCUGCAGGCUGAGAGAGACAGCGAAGAGCCAAUGGAAGUGGACACGGCGAGAGAUCUAAAAGGCGAUGUAGAGGAGAUGGAGGUGGAGACGCAAGAGGAAGAAGAGAUGGACGUGGAAGAGGAAGGCGAGAAGGAGGAGGACAUGAUCCUGGGAUAAGGACACCCCGCCUCAGCAGCAGGACUGACGGACGUGCCGGCCACGGAAUCGGCCACUUGUACAUAUGUUUUACAUGUUGUUCUGUAAAUACAUUUUAUAUUAUUGAAUUUUUAA